GACGAACGCUGGCGGCGUGCUUAACACAUGCCAGUCGAACGGAAAGGCCCUGCUUUUGUGGGGUGCUCGAGUGGCGAACGGGUGAGUAACACGUGAGUAACCUGCCCUUGUCUUUGGGAUAACUUCAGGAAACUGGGGCGAAUACCGGGUAUGAUCUCCUGCUGCGUGGGGGGGGUUGGAAAGUUUCGGCGGUUGUGGAUGGACUCGCGGCUUAUCCGCUUGUUUGUGGGGUAGUGGCUUACCAAGGCUUUGACGGGUAGCCGGCAUGGGAGGGUGAACGGCGACAUUGGGCCUGAGAGAGGGACCAGACUCCUACGGGAGGCAGUAGUGGGGAAUAUUGCACAACGAGCCGACGUCUGAUGCAGCAACCCCGCGUGCGGGAUGACGGCCUUCGGGUUGUAAACCGAUUUCGACUGUGACGAAGCGUGCGUGACGGUAAUGGGUAAAGAAGCAACGGCUAACUACGUG
rnacentral:rRNA from 1 species